UCAAGCAUGGCCGCGUUAAAUCAUGCCACGAAGUGUCAGAGUGUCUCGUUUUCUCCCUGUUUGAGGGAGAAAAGGCUGUCCGAGGUUCGCGAUGGCUUCCGACUGGUACUGAAGUGGACCACGAAAGAGUGCUCGAGCUGCUCAAAAGAGUGGAUACUUUCUGAUCGAAGAUCGAAGUACCAGGCUCUGGCAGCUUUGCGGAGCGUGGCGGGGAAGCCGAUGCAAAGAAGAGCAUCGGUCGCCCCUU
rnacentral:lncRNA from 1 species